AUUGAACGCUGGCGGCAGGCCUAACACAUGCAAGUCGAGCGGAUGCAGGGAGCUUGCUCCUGGAUUCAGCGGCGGACGGGUGGGUAAUGCCUAGGAAUCUGCCUGGUAGUGGGGGAUAACGUCCGGAAACGGGCGCUAAUACCGCAUACGUCCUGAGGGACAAAGUGGGGGAUCUUCGGACCUCACGCUAUCAGAUGAGCCUAGGUCGGAUUAGCUAGUUGGUGGGGUAAAGGCCUACCAAGGCGACGAUCCGUAACUGGUCUGAGAGGAUGAUCAGCCACACUGGAACUGAGACACGGUCCAGACUCCUACGGGAGGCAGCAGUGGGGAAUAUUGGACAAUGGGCGAAAGCCUGAUCCAGCCAUGCCGCGUGUGUGAAGAAGGUCUUCGGAUUGUAAAGCACUUUAAGUUGGGAGGAAGGGCAGUAAGUUAAUACCUUGCUGUUUUGACGUUACCAACAGAAUAAGCACCGGCUAACUUCGUG
rnacentral:rRNA from 1 species